GCCCCUAUAGCUUAAAGGAUAGAGUACUGGUCUUCGGAACCAGUGAUGGAGGUUCGAUUCCUCCUAGGGGCA
rnacentral:tRNA from 2 species